rnacentral:lncRNA from 1 species
AAGAACUCACAUGGAUCGUUACCAUGUCCACAUUUGAAUGAGCCGCUUACAAAGGUGCAAAUGAUUUAGAGUGACUCAUUGGCAUGGUUCCACCUUAACCAGUGCUUGAGAAGCUUUUUUAAACAAUGGAUUGAAAAUGGGAACACCUGGAUUAAAUUCCCAGCCCUACAAUGAUUGAAGAGCUUCAUGCCACUGCAUUAUGUCAAUCAAUCAGCAAAUAUGUCCUGCCAUUAAAAGAAAAAAAUCUAAGUAACAAUGUGCUAAUGAUCUACAUAUUUUGCAAACCUGGUUUAAGGUCAUAUAAUUAUUUCUCAG